GAUGAACGCUGGCGGCGUGCCUAAUACAUGCAAGUCGAGCGAACGGACGAGAAGCUUGCUUCUCUGAUGUUAGCGGCGGACGGGUGAGUAACACGUGGAUAACCUACCUAUAAGACUGGGAUAACUUCGGGAAACCGGAGCUAAUCCCGGAUGAUAUUUUGCACCGCAUGGUUCAAAAGUGAAAGACGGUCUUGCUGUCACUUAUAGAUGGAUCCGCGCUGCAUUAGCUAGUUGGUAAGGUAACGGCUUACCAAGGCAACGAUGCAUAGCCGACCUGAGAGGGGGAUCGGCCACACUGGAACUGAGACACGGUCCAGACUCCUACGGGAGGCAGCAGUAGGGAAUCUGCCGCAAUGGGCGAAAGCCUGACGGAGCAACGCCGCGUGAGUGAUGAAGGUCUUCGGAUCGUAAAACUCUGUUAUGAGGGAAGAACAUAUGUGUAAGUAACUGUGCACAUCUUGACGGUACCUAAUCAGAAAGCCACGGCUAACUACGUG
rnacentral:rRNA from 1 species